rnacentral:rRNA from 1 species
GCUAGUGGGGGCGGCUCCUCCGUUGUGGGUAAACGGGAAACCCGACUCUACGAACCCGAGGAAAGGCUGCACAGCUUCCGUAGGGGCGUUAAGACCGAAGCGUUUUGUAGUGCUGGCAGGAAUGCAAGUGAACCAAAGAACAAUCCCCCGAAACAGUUUCGGAAAUGGAGUUCCAAGAAAGGAGAUCAAAAAUGGCAGCAAAAUGAGCUAGAACAUGGGUUUGAACGACGGUAG